AUUGAACGCUGGCGGAAUGCUUUACACAUGCAAGUCGAGCGGCAGCGCGGGGGCAACCCUGGCGGCGAGCGGCGAACGGGUGAGUAACAUAUCGGAACGUACCCAGUCGUGGGGGAUAACUAUCCGAAAGGAUAGCUAAUACCGCAUACGUCCUGAGGGAGAAAGCGGGGGAUCGCAAGACCUCGCGCGAUUGGAGCGGCCGAUAUCGGAUUAGCUAGUUGGUGGGGUAAAGGCUCACCAAGGCGACGAUCCGUAGCGGGUCUGAGAGGACGACCCGCCACACUGGGACUGAGACACGGCCCAGACUCCUACGGGAGGCAGCAGUGGGGAAUAUUGGACAAUGGGGGAAACCCCGAUCCAGCUACGCCGCGUGGGUGAUGAAGGCCUUCGGUUGUAAGCCCUGUCGAGGGGACGAAGUUCUGACGGUACCCUCCAAGAAAGACACCGGCUAACUCCGUGCCAGCAGCCGCGGUAAAGUACAGUGU
rnacentral:rRNA from 1 species